GUUAAAUUCCAGUUAGUUAACAUACAGUAUAAUAUUAGUUUCAGGUGUACAAUAUAGUGAUCCUUUAUAAUAUCAUCAAUUGCAAUUAAGGACACUACAAUCAUCUGUAGGCCUAAGAAGAAAAAUUUUUGAUGGGAGCAAUUACGCCACAUAAAUUUGGAUUGGAACCUGGAACACUCAGCUACCAACUGCUGCUUCCGAAAGCUACUAUAAAUGGAGACUGACUGGCUGGUCCACUUUUCAGAUUGUCUUGGACUGAAGCAAGAGUGGAGGGAGAAGGUAGUUGAAGAGAAGAAUCCAUAAGCCUCGUGUCUUGGAAAAGAGAAAAGGGACAACUCAGCAGCUUGUGAGGACAGUGUUAGCAGUACUGGAAAAUUCAGAUGGAUUACUGAUGCCACCUCUAGAGAUAUACCUGAAUUCAGCUCAAAACAAAAUCACCCUGGUCUGUAAACACUUUAAUAAACUCACUGAAGCUUAAUGACUUCAAUUGUUUUCAUCAUCACAUAUGUCCCUAAAAGCACUCUAAUUUCAUAUGUUUCACAAUUGUAACAAAAAUAAUUGUAUUCCACUUCAGUAUUUUAAAUCUGUGCAAGUAUCAAAAACAAAAACAAGCUAAACAGAAGACGUGCUUAAUAAUAUUUUUAAAAAUUUGAAACUGUGGUCUGUAUCUAGAAAUUUAUCACAAUUUUAUGAUGUG
rnacentral:lncRNA from 1 species